AAGGAUCAUUAUCGUUAAACCGAGGCGCGACGGCUGUCGCUGACCUUCCCCGGUCGUGCACGCCCGAGCCCUCUCACAAUCCAUCUCACCCUUUGUGCAUCACCGCGUGGGUCCCCCUUUGCCGGAGGGCCCGCGUCNUUACNCNAAACUCGAUACNNUGUAGAAUGUUUUUAUUUUCGCGCUCGCACGCGAUCAACAAUACAACUUUCAACAACGGAUCUCUUGGCUCUCGCAUCGAUGAAGAACGCAGCGAAAUGCGAUACGUAAUGUGAAUUGCAGAAUUCAGUGAAUCAUCGAAUCUUUGAACGCACCUUGCGCCCCUUGGCAUUCCGAGGGGCACACCCGUUUGAGUGUCGUGAAAUCUUCAAAAACCCUCUCUUUCGAGGGGGAUUUUUGGACUUGGAGGUUCAAUGCCCGCUUUCGCCUUUUAGAAAGCGAGCUCCUCUCAAAUGAAUCAGUGGGGUCUGCUUUGCCGGUCCUUGACGUGAUAAGAUCUUUCUACGUUUUGGAUUCGACAUCGUCCCGCUUCCAAUCGUCCCACGGACAAUGGAUGGUGCUCCGGUCGCGGCCGGACCCAAAAACCUUGACCUCAAAUCGGGUGAGACUACCCGCCGAACUUAA
rnacentral:rRNA from 1 species